AGUGAACGCUGGCGGCGUGCUUAACACAUGCAAGUCGAACGAGAACGGUCCUUCGGGAUGUCAGCUAAGUGGCGGACGGGUGAGUAAUGUAUAGUUAAUUUGCCCCUUGGAGAGGGAUAACAGUUGGAAACGACUGCUAAUACCUCAUACUCCUUCUGUCUUAAUGGCAGUUGGGAAAUGUUUUUUCGCCAAGGGAUAAGACUAUAUGGUAUCAGGUAGUUGGUGGGGUAAGAGCCUACCAAGCCGAUGACGCCUAGCUGGUCUGAGAGGAUGAUCAGCCACACUGGAACUGAGACACGGUCCAGACUCCUACGGGAGGCAGCAGUGGGGAAUAUUGCACAAUGGAGGAAACUCUGAUGCAGCAACGCCGCGUGGAG
rnacentral:rRNA from 1 species